CCGAAGUUGCUUGCUUCCCAAGAAUGUCCAGGCUUUACUCUGUACUCGUAACUGGUUGCGAGGAUUUGCAGAGUAUGAAGGUACAAUAGAAGAUGUUGAUGAUAUGUGCAACGAAGAUGCUAUGAAGACUACAAGUACUUCUGGAGUCGAGGGUUCAAGAUCAGAAGAUUCAAAUGUACGUUGAACAUUUGAGAACAAUUGUGUUCAGCCACUCUCAAACUGGUGGUAAAGCUAGGCUCACUGAGGGUUGCUCUUUCAGGAAAAAGUGAAAUCAUCAUCUUAUCUUUUCACAAAAUGUUGCUGUGAUAUUCAGUUUGGUUUUCUUUGCCUUGUUAGUUAUUGUUAUUUUCUUGUGACUGUUUUUUAUGUUUCUUAAAAGAUUCUGAAAACAUGAAACUACUAGUUGAGUUAUUAAUCCUAUGCUUUUAUUUUAGUUUAUAUAAAUCUCAGGCUGUUUAAA